rnacentral:tRNA from 1 species
CCUGGGGUGGCUCAGUGGUAAAGAAUCUGCCUGAAAUGCAGGAGACCUGGGUUUGAUCCCUGUGUUGGGA